rnacentral:rRNA from 1 species
UACAGAGGGUGCGAGCGUUAAUCGGAAUUACUGGGCGUAAAGCGCACGUAGUCGGCUUUGCAAGUCGGGUGUGAAAUCCCCGGGCUCAACCUGGGGACUGCAUCCGAGACUGCAUUGCUAGAGUAUGGGAGAGGGAAGCGGAAUUUCUGGUGUAGCAGUGAAAUGCGUAGAUAUCAGAAGGAACAUCAGUGGCGAAGGCGGCUUCCUGGACCAAUACUGACGAUCAGGUGCGAAAGCGUGGGGAGCAAACAGG